GGGUGCCCGAAGGGUCUGCUAAGAGCUGGUGGGCCAGCCCAGGAUGUGGGGUGAGCACGUCUGUUGUGUGGACGAGUCUCAUCCCCCAGUGGCGCCGGUGGUGUCUGUGGGGAGCCUCUCAGUAGUCAGUACUCCAUGAGCCUUCCCUGGCAUUGUGGCACUAUGUGCUGGUGGACGGAGAGUACUGGUGUGUGGGAAAACAGCGGAGGCUUACAAGAAGGUAUUAAUUGCUGCAGAUUUAUAGUACUUUAUGGAGAAUAUUAUAUUUAUUUCUAUCUUAACUGGCUUUCCCAUUGCUUUGUUCCUGCACCUGCCCUCUGUGGGCAGUGCUUUGGGUCCCUAGAGCUGAGGAGGGUGGUGGGCCCCGGUCCAGCUGCUGGGAGUGAUGGUUGUGCCAGCACGUCGGGUAGGGUCAGGUUGGUUCCUUUCUUGCACCAGCUGAGAGAUGCAAUGAGAAGUGGAAAGCUUUGCAAUAGGGUGUGAGAAUUGAUAAAGCACCAUGCAUGCGGACUGUUCAAUGUGCAGUGUGAUGGGCGGCUGCCUGCCUGGGGAGACACACACAAGGAGAGGCAGCGCCAGCCCUCAGCGCACUGCACUCCUGGCUGCCUCCUCCCUGGUAGGGAUUCUGUUGUGCCAGUUGUGUUCUGACUGUGGGUGUAAAGGAAGCUGGAAUCAGGAACAGUACGCUCCUGUUGGUCUUAAAAUUGUUGAGGUAACACUUGUAUGGACGAAGCUAUUUCUGUGCAGAAGCUAAUUUUAUAUAGAAAAAAAAAUUGUAGCCUGUGUGUUUACCUGCAUAAUGCAUAAGAAUGCAUAUAUGCAGGGUGAAAAUGUCUGUGAAUAGAAUUUCUCUGAUGUCUAACGUGGAGGUAAUGGGAGGAGAAUGUGAUUUAUCAGAUCGCCUCCUGAGAACUGCAGAAGUGGAUUGCUAACCAAUUCUGUGAAAUUAUUUUUGUUUUUAAUGGAGCAAUUAUAUCACAAGAUUUGCCCCAAAUUGGCAUAGAUGAAAUUACCGCAGAUGGUUCUGUAAAAAUCCUGGACUGUGCAAGACUUCUAAAGAGCAACGUUAAAUAACAAGAUUUGUAACAGAAAUAAUCUUUGUAAAAUUAUUGUUCAACGCUAAAUUAAAAGUUCUCCUUACUUGUAGGGAGCUACAAUCUGUUUUUACAGAAUUCAGCAAUUAAGCAAUUUGGGCAAUGAACAGGAUCUGUCAGUAUGCCAAGCAGCAUCCAAACAGAGAUGCAGAUUUCAAGAUAAUGCUUCUGCUUGUGCUGCUUUAUCCUUACAGCACGUGUUAUUGAGUCAGCUUGGCAUGUCAUAUUAAUUUUACAUACAUCAGAGAAGAGGUAAAGAAGGAAAAUUAAAACUCAGGUACUUAUGCUGUACUUAACUUUUUUUUUUUUUCCCUUUAGGACACUCAGAUCUGUGCUGAGUUUUUGUUUCUGUAAUGAUUAACUAUAUGAGUCCUAAGCCUUAAGUGUUACUGAAAAGCACACUCUAUGAUGAACGUAUUUUCUAUCUUAAACUGUUUAGGGUGCAGAUUUACAGUGUGAUAGAAUGGAUGUAAUGACUAGACUGCAGCAAAAGGUCCUUCUCACCUGCUUGUUCCUACUGGCAUUCUGGUGACAGCACUUGCACCAGGCAUACCAAUGCUAGCAUAAGAGAGGGGUGAAAUUACAGCCUGCCCGAUGGCUGGUUGUUAUGGAAUCAAAUACUCAGUCUGCAGCAGCAGAGACAGAGUUUUAAUGUGUGCUUAGGCUCUUCUCAUUCCAGUCGGAUUAACGCAAGCAUCUUGAGAUGAUUUUGCAGUUAAGACAUUGUGGAGAACUAUUCUUACAAGACUUCUUUUUGCUGUAGAUAAGGCUCUUGUGUGAACUACUUAAACUGUAGUGUGCCAGGAGCUUGAUGUUCUGUAAGUAGGUGAUCUAGGAAGGGUGCUGACAGGUCUUAAGUUAGCGGAUGUGCUGCUAGGAGAAGGGAGUACCAUAGGCUCUGUCCUAAAAAGCACUCUGAGCUAGAUGUACACUACACGGGACAUAAUGCUCCACUCUGAAGCAAAUGUGGGUUCUGGAAAUGUUUCGUUAUUAUGUGUGUAUGGUUUUCCCUUUCACUGAGAUGGAAGAAAGAGGAGCAUAAUGUUCUCUUCCAGAUGCAGAUGCCAGCAUCAGAGGAUUUUGCUCUCAAAUGCAAGUUGUAGGCUGUUAGAAUAACGACUUGCAUCGAUUUGCUAGCAGUUGAUAACUCUUUUGAAAUGAAUAGGGGUUAGUUCAGACCAGCUGUAAUAAUGUGUAACACAGCGGCCUUACCGAUGUUGCUUGAUGCAGGCUAGGGAGCACUUCGAUGAGCUGUGCUACUAGCGAGGCUAUGGCUGCCAUAGGCUGUGGGAGGGGAUCGGGGCAGAGCUGCCAGGGGCAGGGACCAACUGCACUAGAACAGCUGGGCCAGGAAGAUGUGUUCGUGGUGUAUUCUGCUGCUUUCUGGAAAAUGGCUUUCAGCGUGCAGACCCUUCUCAGUGAGUUUUAUAGAGCACUGCUUAUUUGAAUGAAUUGUUGAAAUCAUUAAGCUUGGAGAUUUCUGAGGAAUCUGAGGAUAUGAGGUGCCCAGCGUUAGCAAGGACCCCUCAUUUUCUUUUAGUGAAUCCAAAAUCUACAAUAGGUGAGGUACCUGAAGCAGUUACAAGAGUAAGAUGCUCCAUAUUUUUCCCCUAUGAGUUUUUGUUCUGGAAGUUGUGUUUUGCCCUUAUAUGGAAAGGAUCUGAAAGGACAAAAUCAUGGUGAAUUUUUUUCAGAAUGUGAUUAAAAAAACUUUAAAUUUUGCUUAUUUUAAAAAUUAGGGCAAAAGUAUUUUUUUAAUCACCUUUACUGGUGAGUUACAGUUGCUGUGGUGUGGCUUAAAGUUGCUUGCUUUACCAUGAGCCUGCAGUAUAGGCCUUCUGUGUGCAGAUGAGCUCUGUACGUGACUGUCUCCAGAGGUGGUAAUGCUUCGGAGUACGGUCUGCUUUAUAGAAAUGAACACACUGUUUUUGUUCUGACGUUGCAGAGAUCUUCCUCGAUCGACAGCUUGUAUGGCAAAUGUAUUUUAGAAAGGUUCUACAGUGCUUCAGAUAGAAUCACAGCCACUGUGGACUCACAGAUGCCAGAAGGUGCAGAAGUGAUGAGGUUUGCAGCCUGCCAGAUAGGAAGCAGAAGCCCUCAUCAUGCAGAGCAUACAGUUGGUAUAAAAGUAUGAAUACAUCAAAGUGGUGUGUUUAAACUCCCUGCUGUGAGCAUCUGUUAAUGCAGAGUUGUCUGUGAUCCAGGGUGAAGGGUGGCCUUAGAGCCGUGUUGAUAGAUGAACUUUGGGAGGUGACACUACAGUGACUCUCAUGAGGUUUUCUAAUCUGCAAGGCCAGUUUAUCCCAUAGAAUAGGGAAAGAAAUAGGAAAGAAAGAAAGAAAGAAAGAAAGAAAGAAAGAAAGAAAGAAAGAAAGAAAGAAAGAAAGGAAUAGGAAAAGAAAACUGUGCAGUUUUAAAUCCUGUGCAUGAGGAAAAAAGUAGUAAAAUACUGAGACCGAGAGCCGUGUCGCUAUCAGCUUUCACAGUGUGACCAAAGUGUGGCUUUUUUUUUUUUUUUUUUAAAUCAGUCCUUUUAGAAUACUGUAGAAAACCAUUGUGGUUUUGGCACAGUUCUUGGCUGACAAGAAGGGGAAGUGAAUUAAUGCCUUCUGUGCCCUGAAGGCUUGUGCUAGUUUAAAGAAGUGGUUUUAUAGUAAUUUAAUAAUGAUGCACCAGAGCAAAGGGAUGGGAAGGAGGAGGCGGAAGGCUGACUGCUUACAGUGUACAUCUGAGCUCUCUGCCUAUCCAGGACAUAGGACUGCUACAUAAUUCCAUCGAGCAUGGAGGGGGAGGGAUGGUGUUUCUAAGAGAAGGUGAUUGUGCGUUGCCCUGAAGUGUUUUCUGCAUGGUACACUGAAAAGCCCAGCGUGCCAGAGGGGCUGUGGAAGCCUGUGCCAGACUUCUCUGAAUUAUGAAUGAAGUGGCUGCUGCUAGCACAGACAUGAACGCAGACUCUAGAGCUGCUGGGUGCCUUCAGCAUUACAGUAACAGACUGGUUUUAGAUUUCAGUAGCUACUCAGCAGCCUCAUCUCUGAGCUCAUCUUAAUGUCUCUAGAAGAGUUGGGGCAAAGUAGGGCCAGUAAUAGUGUAAGUGGAAAGCUCUGAAUUUUGUCCAAGUUUUCAUUCAUUUGUUUUCAGUGAGAUCUAUUUAAAACACUUGAAUUCAGUUUAUUUGUCAACUUUCAUUUGAACACAGCUCUGCUUUCCUAGUCUGAGUGUUUUGUUGUUGUUUUGUUAUUUUUGCAGGGAGGGUGUUGUCUUUAACUGCAAAAUUCUUACUUUGUUCCAGUAAUAAAAGAAGUCAGUUGGUAGUCCCAGACAGCCCUGGACAGUCCCUGUGCCCUCUGUGUACAUAGCAAGCAAGGUGAGAGAAUAAGCAGAGUGUAAGAUAUCCCGAGAUAGCUGCUCAGACAUGCAGAGUGGUCUUGGCAGCCCAGUUCCAUUGGGCUUCUGUCAGGUGUUGUAAACAGAUGCCUCCUUUAAGGAGCUCAGCUAUUUGCAGACAAAAUUUACAGAACAAGGGAUUGGAAUAAUGGCAGAGAAUCUGUGCAGCUCUGCUUUCUGUACAGGGCAGCAUGAGCUGCAAGGGACAGAUCUUUAUUUUUUUACUCUGUGCUGUCACUGGUGUGGUUUAUGGAGCUUGGUGCUUUCUGCCUACAAGUGCAGAGCUGUUGAGUAAGAGCCGCCACCCAAUGUCAGAUGCAGCACAGCCAGGGCUCUGCCCUCACUCGUACUGAGAUCAGUGAGUGAGAUCUGCCAGCUGUAGCUCCUGGCUUUCACUGCCAGAGCACCUUUCUUCUCAGACUGCGUGGAAAUGGGCCCUAGGAGUCAGUUUGGAGCAGUUUCCUGCAGGUUUCAAGGGCCCUCAACGUCGCAGCUGCCUGUAACAGAAAUCUGCAGUUGCGAUCUGUUUGCUAUUCAUAAGAAAAGGGAACUGACACCUGGAUAAGCCAAGCUACAUCAAUAAAUUAAGAGGCAGUAGGGCAUGGAAUUUAGAUCGUUUGGUAUUAGUGUUCAUUGAAAAGUGAAACUAGAGCUAGCUCUGUGAAUUUUUGGGCAGGCUUGGAGAUGCUUCAGGUCACGUAGAGUGACAAGCUGGCUUGUUCCUUCAUGGCUGUCAAACAAAUCCUUUAUUUGAGUUAUCUUUGUAAGACAGGGCUCGUGCAGUUGAGCAGCUGUGGGAAUGGCUUGAGCUUGGUGAGGGCUAUUCUGCUUGGAGAGCUCACUGCUUGCCUUCAGCUGCGGGCUGAAGGCAUUGGGUGUUGGAACAAUAAAGACAUGGCACUAUGAUGAGAAAAAGUAGAUGGACUGAAAUGGUUGUGUGGGUUUUUUGUUUGUUUUGGCAUGGGGUGCAUGGAACAGCAGUGAUACAAGGGGCUAAACUAGCAGCCUCCCUGUAGCUGCCUUGACCAGUGAUGUCAGGCCAAGGAGUGAGGAAAGACAGCCAUGCUCUCCUCUGUAGAUCUAGAAUCGCUAUCAUAUAACUCAUGGCAUGUGCCACUCUCUUAUCUACCCCUUGUUUCAUUCCUAGGAUGCCACAGGGCAUUGGCUUGCUACUGGAGCACACCCAGUGCAUUUCAUUAGCUGGCACUGAGCAGCAGUUGCCAGGAUACUGCUGAAGGGCUGUCAGUCUGCUCAACACCUCUGAGAUGCUAAUCCUGAGGAAGCUUUCUGAGUGACCUCUUAAUAAGCUAGCUAACACUGUGUGUACAUAGGUAGAGUAUUACGGCAGUAUGUAGGGUAAAAUGGACAUCUAUUUCAGCCAACUGUUAGUGGUGUUUUCUUCACGGUCUACAGCCACUUCUUUGGAUCAUACCUUCUAAAUAUUUGAUGGAGCUCUGCACUGCGAAGGAAACAUGGUCUAGGCAGUUCUGGUACAGAGGUUCCCUCAGUAGCUCUUAUGUGCGUAGCUGACCUGUUUGCCUCACAACUGCAGGCUCAGCUGGCUGCACGCUUCUUUGCUGAGUGCAGAGGUCACACACCACUUCUUAUUCCCACUGGUAUAUAUGCUAGGCUGUGGCUUUCCAGACUUCUCAUUUUAUUAAGAGCACUCAUGACUGCAGUCAGCUCCUAAUGCUUUUUAAACCUUCCUCGGGGUUGAUCUCCUUUGAAUUAGAUUAAUGAUCUCUACAGUUAGAUUUGAAAAGUUGAAUUAAAGACCAGAAAAAAAAUACUUAGAAGAUAAGGGCUUCUGAUAAAAUGGCUACUGUUAGUUUCUAGAAUAAAAGUAUGUUCUGUAACUCCAGGCAACUGGACAUGCAUGUUCCAGGAAGCUGUGAGUUGCAGCCUCAAGCCAACAGCAGCAAGCACAUGGUUCUCCUGGGAUCCCGUUGUGCCUUCAGGGGCUUUGGACAAAGAAGAGGCUUGGGUUUGCUUCAGACCUCAGAGGGCAAACUGGGACCACAGGAAUUUAAUGUUCUAGGAAGUAGAAUGAAGGGAUGGGGGUGGGAUAGAAUAAAAGUUUGAGAGAGGUUUGCUGUUUUUUUUUAUAUCUAGAAUUUACCUGUUAAGAAAACAGAUACCACAUUUUAGUGAGUAACGAAAUGCUAGAAGAUGUCCAGCUUUUAUUCUGAAGUAAAACUUCAAUUUCUGGCUAGUAUCUUCACAGUCUUCUCAGAGCUUUUGUGUUACUGCUUCCAUCAGCUGUCACACCCCCUGCAGAAUUUGUGUGCAGCAGCCCUUGCACAAUAUCUGUACCUCAGCAUGCAUAUGCAGACCUCACUCCCCUAUGCUUCAUUCAGUUGCAGUCUUUGUGAAGGAGGGGAUUCUGCUCAUUACAGUGUAAAUGUACUUUAUGUUUCCAUCGCCCAAAAUGCAGCUUCCUUAAUAGCCACCUCUGCUAAGACUGCAGCCUGGGAAGCCUAUCUUAACUUUCUGCUGUGCCUGUUACCUGACUGAAGCAGAACAGACAUAUGGGUUUGGCUUCCCAGGCUUCAAAAAACCUUAAAGCCCGUUCCCUCGCUGCAAACAAAAAUAAAAUUAAAAAACCCAAAUAAGUCAUAAGUAAGUAUAGAGAUAUAAGCCUUUAUUGUAUGCUAUUGAAAGCAAGUGGGACAUGGUUAUGGUUUUAUAUACAGAGAAGUCUGUAGCAUUGGGUUACAAUCAGUGGCAAAUGAAUUAAGAUUACAGUGCAAAUAUAGGUGUUGUGUACAGUUUUUAUAACAGUGGCUGGCAUAUAAACCACAACACAGAAGCCAAAUGAAGCCAGAUGUACCGGGUACAGCAUCACGUGAGGAAGCAACUCAAUAUCCCAAGAACAUUCCAUUUACUUUACAUUUGCAGGUUUUUUUAGCUAGUGAGAUCUAGCUCACUUUAUUGAGUUUUCUCCUGGUUCGUAAAUUUCCUGUAGUUAGAUCACAAGGAUCUCUUGUACUUCAUUUGGAAGUUUAUUUCUGAGUAACUUCUUUUGAGAGACUUACUGGGAAGAAACAUGGAACUGUCCACCAUACAUACUUCUGCAAUUUGGUGAUACUAUUAAGAUUUAGAUCAAAGGCCUUGUUUUAUUCAAUGCUGUAAGUAAUCUUAGUGUAAAAAUAAACAUUCUGUCCUCUAUGGAUAAAUAAGUCUAUCUGGUGGCUGCAGGUCAGCCCUCUCAACUGGUGAAAGAGAUUUAUAAAAAUAGACCUUUUCAUUAAUGUUUACUAUGCUGACCCACAAAGGAAAAGUGAAAUUCAUUCAAGUCUAGAAACAGAAAUACAGUACAAGUGAUUCAUAGAAUUGCAUUCCUUCCCUCUGCAAGCUUGCUGAGCAUGAAACACUGCCCCAAAGCCCUGCCUCAGUCUUUUCCUUGUCCUGGAGUAAUUGUCAUUAGAAAAGUAACAUCAUACUGCAUUGCCAGAUUACCUGUCUUCCUUGCAGUAUGUACUCUCUUAGCAGAGAUCUGUCUCCAGGUGAGUCUUUGUUUAAAAAUUCUUCAGAUGGUGAUGGUGGUAGUUUGGGCUACACAGGGGAGAUAUUUUAGCCCGAAUUAACAGCGGUUGUUUGAAUUGAUAAGAGUGGUGGUGAUUUUUAGUGGAAGCGCAGCUUUUUUUUUUUUCCUUGCUUUUGUUUGUUUGUUUUUAAGCUUAUGAGUUGAAUGUGGAAGACAUCAUCCUUUCCUCAAAGUCACCUUCAGAUGUCUUUCUUCUUAAGGGGCAGGUAUUUUUGGCAGUACAGGUUUCAUGCUCAACUUUGCCACUAAGACCUGGGCAGGACUUAAGAAAGUGUACAGCCCACGGGGAUUUGCUCCACUGUAUUUAGCACUUUUGAGAAUUACCCCCAUAGCAGUGUUGCUCUCUUAGAAGUGCAAGUGUCCCAGAAGGUUCUGAGACAGCUGGAGGACAGGUGACCUUCUGCAGUAGAAGUAGUAGUUAAGCACCAGUUGUUGGCCCCUGCAGAGGCUCAAGAGGAGAACAGAAAUGCUUUGUAGAGAGCUCAUCAACCUAAAAAGCUUAGUCAGUUUGAUCAAUAAUUAUUGAUUUAGGGUUAGGAUCAGAAAUACGAUGCUGUACUUCGGAACUGGAAGACAGAGACAACUUCCUUUAUUUUCUGUCCAAAGGAGACUGCCUUUAAAACAUUCACCCUUAAAGGCCUUUGUGAUAUCUGAUCUAUAACUCACUAACACAUCUGAAUGUACCUGUACAUUUUUCCAGGGAAGAGUAAGUGCAUGAGUGGACAAAGCUUCAAGGCUUCUUCUGGGUUGUUUUUUUGUUUGUUUGUUUGUUUUUUUCAAACAUCUGUUCUGUGUUCUGUUGUCCCUGAAGGCAUAUUUACCCACUCUUAAAUUAUGCAGCAUUGCCCAGAGAAUGGCUCUGUAAAGUAGAACAUGUUCUCAGCAGUAUAACCUCAGUUUUCUUCCAGCACAUUUCCAUGUAAUAAUGUGUUGUUGGAAAACUACACUUGACUUUAUCCCGUUACUUUGAGCAGGGAACUAGUGAUGCUAGUUUGAAAACGCAAGAAAUAACCUAUACAGUGAAUUAGAAGUUUCAUAACUAAAUUCAUAUCACUAAAUUUCUGAAAGCUGUACUGCUCUGAAUACUGUUCAGCCCACAGCUAUUCUGCUUUGAGCAUUAUCACUCUGCAAUUGCUUAUAAUCAGCCCUUUGUGGGAAUAAUGAAAAAAUAAUACUCUACUCUGAAUAUGUUUCACUUGUUUAGUAUGCAGGAUGCUCUUGCAGAACUGUAAGUUAUACUAGAAGUGCAGGAAUACACACAUUUCCAUAUGCAUAGAUCAUUAAAUUAUAACAGUACCAGUAGUAAAGCAAACCUGCCAAGAUGUUCUGUUCCUCUUAAUUAAGCUUGAUCUAUUUGUGCCUGCUGACUUAAGAUGCAGUUAGUGUCCACUGCUGAGAUGACAAAGUACCCUGAGUAGCUUUGUGGUGGUUAUGCUUACAGAAGCUUGUGCUUUUCUAAGAACAUAGAAAUGAGCACAAAUAAGUACAUCAAGUUAUUUCCAUGGAACACUGUUAACCAACUUACAGCAGCUUUGAAAUACAAAGCUAAAACUUACCUUCUGCUAUACUCCCUUACAGAUUAGUGCUAUAAUUAAACUUGCUGUUAGCUUAAGAAAUGUAAGUGGAUAGAAUUUCAAAAUAAGCUUUCAUGGUAAGAUGAACCUACUUUGUUAUAGUUAUACACCAGUAUUAGUGAUCUGAAAUUCAUACAUUACAACAUGUAGUUCUGGAAGCAGUAUCUGCUUUCCCUUGUUACCAUUCUGUUCUGUUCAAGAGCAAACUGUCUAGAAUAUUGUACAAAUAAGUUACCAGUAUUCCUAUACUAGUAUACUAUACUGCAUGGAACAGUCUCCCCAUCUGGAUAGGGCUGCAUCGGCAAAUAGAAUUUGUUCACUUGAUUUCUCCUGUUUCUCCACCUCCUCUUUUCAUUACCUGCGUAUGUAUAGAAGUGGAAAAAAAGUAUAUCUGCUGCAGCAGCUUUUAGUUUGUGAUAUGGAUAGCUUAUGCCUCUUACCUAUUUUCUUGAAAACUGUAGGAAAAAAACAAUGCUAUCUCCCAUCGCCCUUAGUUUACUAAGGCUGCUGAUUUACCACAGUAGACAAACCUCCUUUUUUUUUACUGUAGACUGGUAUUUAUGGCUUUGGAAAAGGCAGUUCAUCUUUCCCACCAACUUGCUGUCUGUUAUACUUAACUUCCUCAGACUGGAACAUUCCACCUUCAUUUUUUCCUUCUCUCUCUCUCUCUCUCUCUCUCAGUGCAUUCUACCAGAACCAGGUGUGUUCAGCAAGCGAAUGUGUUCAAGUAGAAGCUGCACUGCACCUUGUAAACUGCAAAGUGGCUUAUGGCAACUGGAGCUUCUAGAUUCAGGUAAGAGGCAGGAAUUAGGCGUAAGUCUAUAUGCCGUUUUGGACUUAAAUUUUAAUUUAUUGCAACUCUAACUCAUCUCAGCUCCCCCAUACCAGUGGAUGACUACAUUCAAUUAACGCCCUCUAGAAUUAGUGUGGUUUGUCAUAGUAGAGAUAAGAGUCUAGAGAUUUUGACAAACAUGCACUACUGGGCAGCUGAAUUACAUUUUCAUUUUUGUUUACACAGCAUAGAAGAGAUUGUACCUUUAUCUUACUGACACAAACCUUUGAAGUUGGAAAUUUGAUACCUUUGGUCUCAAUCUAUGGUUAAAACUUUUAUAUGCUCUUUAAAUUCUUCGACUCCUGUUUAUCAAUGGAUUAUUAAUUAAACACGCAAGAGAACUCUCCCACUGAGACUUCAGUUGUUGCUACAGUUCCUGUAGGCUAGUUCAGUAACAUCAUCAAAGUACUCUUAACCACUAAACUAUCACUUGUACAGUAUAUUUAACGUUAGAUUAUAAAGAGUUAAGGCACCAAAUACAUAACAAAACAACAUACAAAAUAAGAAAUUUGUUUUUGAAUUGCACAUCUCCACUUACCCCACUUUGGAUCAUUCAGCUCCUCUUAAGCGUCAAGAUAAGUAUUUUGCCUGAAUGUUUCAUUUUGCCACAUGAACUGGAGACAAAACACUGAAUUGAAUCUUACACUGAAGUGAAUUUUUCUCUCACAGAACUCAUAGAACAACUUUUACUAAGGCAUUUCAAUGCCUAUGCAUUAUCAGCUAGGUCUAGCAGAAAGAACAUCCUCUUCUGGAAAACCCCACACUGGAGACACAGGCCUGUGUGUGUCCCACUCAUGUUUUUGUAUUACCUUAUUACCUGUGUUACCACUUGCACAUAACAGUCUGAAAUGCUGCACUGUCUGUUUGCUAUUCGUUUAUACAGUUCAGGGAUCUCUGCUAGACUGUGAUGAUCCAUAGGUUCUUAGAAAUACAGAUGCAGAAGCAUAAGGGAAACAAGGACAAUGUACUUCUAUACUAUUGCUGUCAGGGAUCACUGACUGAAAAUACUGAGGCAUACAGGCUGUUUUUCUGAGGACAUUGCUGGACUGGAUCAAGGAUGGCACAGUAAAGCUGCUCACAUUUAUAGCUAUUUUGGAGUUUUGGAAUUGCCAGGGGAUUGAUCUCCCACAGUUGAACCAGCCUCCAGGCUGGAGAUCUCUUCCCAGACCACCUGGGAAGUUUCCAUGUAACUCUUCUUUCUACCUAGCCACACAAGAAACUCAUGGGUAGGGAAAUUUCGCUUAGCAGUCCAAUGAAAGGAAAAAUACGCAAAUAAUUUUCAAAUUGGAUAAGAUACACUUUAAAUCUUUUUUCCUGCCAGAAGGCAAGUGUUAUUAAAGAAAGAUCAAAGAUAUUAGAAUAGUUGUCACAGAUGUUUGCAGGAGUAGAAAUAGUCCCUCAGCACAUGGAUGACUUUCUAGGAAAACCUGUUUCCCUAGAACUCUCUUUGUAGGCUGAUUAAAAGCUUUCAAGAAUCUAGAAACAUACCGAAAAUUUUGUAAUUCAACAGAAUCAGUUAUUUACAAGGAUGCUAGAAGGAAAUUCAGAAGAGGCUGUGGUUUGCACAGUAUUUACAAGAGCAAGGGUAUUUAAGGAAGUGCAGUGAAAUUUACAGCAGCAGCGCUGACAGCACAUUCAGCAGGAGCCAUGAUAAUUGCUGAAUCAUUUUAUUAACUCACAUUGGCUACAUGACAACAAAUUAGACAGAUUAGGAACCACCUACCCAGGCACUAAAUUGUCUUUGUGAGAAUUGGACUGUGUACUGUGUCCAACAGAAACUGCUUCAGCAACAGAGGCUGCACAUUAUACAGACCCUUCAUGGGUAGAGGCUGGCCUCCCUCCAUUUGUGUGGCUCAGUGCCCAGGAAUAAGGUCACCAUGUUCCAACUCCUGAAUGUGUGCUUAAGGAAGACAGCAAGCCCUGGCAGAGGGAGGACACGGUGGCAGGAAGCAUUGUGUAUCAUGCUUUCAUCUAGCCAAGUCUUUUCACUGUCAUGCAAUUCUGGUUCUGUAACAUACAGGCUUUCAAGCACAGGAUGGUGAUGGAAUAGAUCUCAAAAAGGUUUAUGCAGAUUUUUAUAUAGUGUUUGUAUAAUGUACAGUUAAAACACCAGCUCAAGACAGCAGUGCCCUUCCCAGUCAUUCCAGUUUUAAAGCCUUCUCUAGAUAGAACAUGCCUGUAGAAAUCUCCCAUGGCUGGCAAAGCAGGAUUUAAGUUCCCUUGUAAAAAAUAUCUAAUUUCUUCAAAAUACAGUUUCAUAUCUGGGCAAAUUGACAAGCAUUCCAGCUGCCACUCACCCAUUAGGAAGGAAAAUGGUGAAGAAUGGUUAGCAGUGUACAGUAUCUAGGGAUUUCCAUCAGUGAAGACUGCUGUCCUGCAUGGAUUACUCAGCAGGCUGGUUAUACUUUUCUCCCUCACACAGUUCCAUGAAACCCAAAUUGUUAUAAAGGGAAAGUAAAUGCCCUGCAUGAUUACGGGUUUGUACUCAAGAGCAGCUAAAGGCAAAUAAAUGCUAUUUUAACAAUGGAACAGUCUGUGUUUUAAUCUUUUGAUUCUGUAAAUAGCUUUACUUCUCUCACUGUCAACCAACCAGGCCACUCAAGUUUACAUUUUUCUUCUGAAGUCAAUGUAAAUACUGUUUAUCUCCAAUCUAGAUAACACACUAGAUAAGCCAACUUUUCAUUGUAAAGUUCGGGUUUCUUUUAAUCCUUUAAGUGCCAGACAUCAUCUCCCAAAAUACACACUAGCGUCUGGUUAGCUAAAACUAGAGUUAAGGUGGAAACUGAAUAGAUACAGACUUUCCCAAAUGUCCUAUUUAUAUGUAGCAGUUGAAAGGUACUUUUCCAGAAUACUUUCUUUUCCGUGAACCAGAAGUUCAAACUAUAAAAUAACAUUUUUUGCGUCACAGACAUGUUACUACAAAUUGACAAAGAUAGCAGCUAUACAAAGCACAUGGAACCAGUUUCCACAUUUUACUACUGGGUAUAUCCAGAAAGACAAAGCUCAGUAACCAUCAAAUAGCAGACCUCAAGCUCACAGAAAAGGCACUUCAGACCAUGCUCCCACGAGAUGUCUUUUAAAAAGGAAAUGAGCAAGUAUUUAUGCAAAAGAAAGCAGAUUCUAUUUCUGCCUUAGAAUAACAGUGGUUGUUACAAAAUUGAUCAAGCAGCUGUUAUCCAAUCAUCAAAUUAUCAUCAAAUAAUAGCCUAGUAUCUCAGUUAAGUUAAAAGCUACUCUUAGAAUUUAGUCCGUAACUAUUCUCUCAAAUGCCCAUGUAUUAGGCAUGUGUGAAACUCACAUGAGUGACACUUCAGCACAUCAGUGUUUUGCUCAAGUUCCAUCAUGAAUGAGUGAGGUUCCUGGGCUGUCUUGCCAGCCAUUCCAAAUGGCUUAAAAAAAAAAACAGGUAUAAUAGUACAGUAUGUAUUUCAGCAUCAGGAAAUUUGUUCAUCCUACUGAGAAAGGGUGCAGCAAAGCCAGGAGGAUGUAUUUUGGAGGUAUCUACUGCUUUAUGAGCAAAAACAGUGAAGAAAUUUAGUAUCUUUUCAGUGAAGAAAAGGAGAAGAUCCAAGAAGGUGAAAAUUUCAAGAAAAGUAGUAAGGGCAGAAUGGUUAGGGUUCCAAGAGUUAAAGCAGUAAUGACAGAAAAACAUGAAAGUUCACAGUCAAAACAAUGCUGAUGGAAAGCAAUACACAUAAAUUAAGCUGCCAAAUGCAGGCCACAAAAGAGAGAUCAAAGAAGUCAGCAAGACAUUUCAUUAUUCAGUUCUUGAACUGGACAGAUGACUGCUUGUCAGACUGUAAUCAGUCUGAGGUAAACCUAGGAAAGGAAUACUCAAGAGAAGUUCAUUAUAAUGCACCUUAACAUUGCCUUGAAGCAUAUAAAAUACUGUCUUCCAGAGGAAGCAGAGCAGCCUGCUGCUCCACUAUCAGGAUUGCUUAGCCUGACAAGCUGAAAGAAUGAAUUGAAUUUUAAAUGAGCUUCAGACCAAGCCCUGUGUUUGCACCUUGAAGGUAACAGAAGAUGAAAAUCUGCACCACCAAAUAGGAAGUACAUUUUGAUGGCUCAUCAAUUGCACCUGCAAAUGUAAUCAAAUGGUUAUGUGCUUUAACAGACAAGUCACUGGUAAAGUUUCUUAAGUUCAUUUCCCCCAGUGCAAACGCAUGGGCCACUUGCAAGGUCAGGUUUCCACCAACGUUAGCUAAACUAACAAAAUUUGACAGCUACUUUACAUCAGCCUAGGAAUUCUAUCCAGACAUAUCCUCAAUUAUGGAGAAACCUACACAUGCAGUUAUUUACUGAGUUUGAUGUUUUCAAUAUUGAAAUGAAAUACAGUUUGUUUUUGGCAUUAUAUCUUGACGCAAAACAACAAGCUUUGGGUCUGAUUCACUACUACAUGUUUCAUACCAAGUAUUUUUCUGAUUUUCUAUCAGUAUGAACUGUGAUCAGUCAGGACUAUUUAAUGCUUUCAUCUCUGAAUUGAGACCCUAAAAUGUAAAUACAUCACCCUAUCCCCCACCCCCCCAUUUUUUUAUUUUUUAUUUUUAAUAUAAAAAGAGUUGUUUCCAGCAACUUCAAGUGCUGCAAGUACUGCAGUUGAGCAGCACUGUACUAUGCAACUUUGCAUAAUGUAAGGUUAUAUAAAUGCAAAUUAAAAAAGUAACUAUUUUAAAACUACACAUAUCAUGUGCACCAUGUAAGUCUGAAACCAUUUUCCUCCAUGUAAAAGAUUAGUUAAAACAUCUACUACAGAACUGAAAAUAUUUAUGGAUGUCUCUAUUUUCAUUUCUAGCUUUAGAAAACUACAGCUGAACAAUUUAUUCAUGCAGGCGUAAACCCCUGCCUGCCUUCCUGCCUUCCCUCCUCCCACUGUGCCCACAAGAGGAAAGCAAACCGGCUGCUUUGUGAAUUAACGUGGUCUAGUGUAAUCUGAUCUCUGCAGAUUUAAACUGUAAUAUCAUCAAAGUUUUUCAUUCUCCAUUUGAAGUUCAGCUUUAGUAGUGUAGGGAAAUAAUUUCUCUCUUACUAGUUAGAUAGUGUUACAUGUUCCACUUGGCAUUUUUAUUUCACAUCCCUAUCACCAUGGUGUGGCUUUCAGUGCAGGCCACAUGUCUUCAGUACCUGCCCGAAUGUUUUCGACAAAUAUGCAAGGAAUGCAGUGCCUCAUACACAGCAGACUCAAUACAGCUUUUUAGGCUAUGCAAAAGGAUAUUUAAAGUAGAACAGUCCGUUGAUAAAACCAAACUAUUCCUUAAAAGUGUUAAGUAAUAUUUUCUCGUUAAACUCAAACCAGAAUAUUUGAACUGGCCUUGACAACGUAAAAAGUUGGAAUUCAGACCUAAGUAUUACUUGUUUAAACACAGAGAUAAAUAAUAAAAAAUGUACCAUAUACAAGACUUUCACAGGUAUGUGAGAUUUUUAGGAAAAAAAGCAGUAAAAAUACUCUUCAAGCUGAAAAUAAAAUCUCUUACCUUUUUUAUCACGAUCUCAGCUUACAGUCAUUAAAUUUCUGCUUAUUUUAUACAAGUGCAUAUGGCUAUGAAGGUCCGGAGAGAAUGAGAACAAAGUGGUAUUAACCUGCUGAAAACUGCUCAGAAGUCUUAACUGCAAUAUAUAGAUGUUCCAAUACCAUUUAAAUAAGCGAAGACAUUUACCUUUCAGUUAUUGCUGAUUACUGAUCUUAGAGUAUCAACAAACAAAUACUUAAGAGGAAAAAACCCAACUAGUAAAUAAUAGCAGCAAAGAUCCUGAUCUGGACAUUGACCAGAUACUACAUUUUCCUAUCAUUUGGUGAUAAUUUUCAGAGACACAAAAGCAACUAUUUCAAAAUCAAGUUCAGGCCUACCCUUUUUGUGCCUCACAUUAAUGAUGUGGUAAAGAAAGAGAGAGAGAGAGAGAGAGAGAGAAAGAAUAACAUUUAGUUAUACUUUGGAGAAAAAUAUACUAUAUUUUCCUGGCUUUUUGCUACAUUUCAUGUCUGCUGACAUGUACAAUGGUACAAAGCACUACUGCUUUAGAAGUGACCAUUGUAAGUCUUUGUAGCAAUCUUUAUAGGAAACAUGCAAAUAACCAUAGUAUUAAAAUUCUAAAAUACUUAAGUAGGGAAAGUCAAUGCAGGAUUCACUGCUUAAAGCAAGCGCCCUGCUAGGUCUUGUUUCGUAUUUCCCUCCCCCCUAACCCCACCCCUGCUAGACCAGUCUUUCCCUUCUACUGUAAAGAAAAUAACCAGAAGUAUAUACACAUCUAUUGCUAUGUACCCAAAGAAAGGACUGUGGCUUGGAGUAUUGCUUUUCAUUAAAUGGAACAACGUUCAAGAAGUGAGAAAAGCACUUUGGAGGGGAAAAAAAAAAAGAGGAAAAAGUUCAGAUUCCAUGUCUGAAGUUGAGAAACCUCAAAACGAGCCACUUUUGUUCCUGCUUUUAAGACAUGUACAAAAUGCCAUUUCGAGCCACACAACCUGAUGGUUCUAGAAGUCAGAGAAGAAAUCUUGAGGGCCCAAGUGAAUAAUAAAAGGUGCGAUGCUCAGAGGCUGGCAAUAGGGACUGUCAAUGAAAAAACCACCUACAGUGGGAAAAGAGCAGAGAAGCAAAACUUCAUGUUAAUUUCAGAGAGUGGCUGAAGCUAAAGCUCCAUUUAAAUUUCUCUGCUCUUUCAGCUGCAAGUGGAAUUUUCAUUGUAAAAUGGGCACUUUGAAUUCUGUGAAGGUAUUGAAACAUCUAACACUUUCCAAGGUUACCACUUUCUAAACAAAGAACUGACAGGUCAUUCAUAUUUUCAGUAAAGCAGAGAAAUGUAAAAUAUGCAGCAAGGGGGGCAAGUUUACAAUGUGGUUAGUAACUCCCAACAAAUGACAAAAAAAAAAAAAUAGACUUUUAUCAGUUGUCUGAAAUGACUGCCAUCAUGCUGGAAAAGAGCAUAGCGCCCUCCUUGUUUUUGAAAUAAGGAACAAGUUAUUUGGUAUACAAAUGUUUAUUGUAAAGAAUUGGUUCAGACAAUAUUUUGUUAGAAAAUUUUACAAAUCUGGGGAUUAAUGAAAAAGAAAACAGUUGCCAAUUGGGAACUCCAAAACAGGGGCCAGGGGGGAGGAGGGGCGGGAAGGAAAGGGGAAAAACGUGUGCAGAGGAAAUACUCCUUUUAUGAAUAUUUGAUUAACAAAAAUGGGCUCUUAUCAGCCAUGCUUUUUCUGCUCCGUGAUGGCUUCCUUUCAUCCAUAGGCCAGCAAAAUGUGUUGGUCAUUUACGAGCACCACUCAAUUUGGUUACAUCCUCCAGACCCUGCUCUUUAUUUCAACACUAAUGCACAUAUGACAACAGCAGGCUCAUUGCUGCUUGUCAGUAGAUCUUCAUUUUUUAUUAAAGUACCACCAGCACCAAACAAAAGUGAGAGCUAUGGCAGAAGAAAAAACAAAUACUUAGCUUAACAGCUGCAGUUAAUUCCAAGAAGAGUAGCUUGUUAUAUAAGCCACCCCUUAUUAAGCUGUUCUGUAACUUCUUUCCCUAUAAUGGAGGGGGUGGAGGAAAGGAGGAACUUACAUUGCUUUAAGCAGUUCUUAGAUCCUCUUCAUAAAUAAAGCUCCCCCUGCCUCAACAGCAAAGUCUGUUGGGGAACAGUGUAUACAGACAGUCUUGAAAAGAGCAAGAACUACAGCAAACCUCUGGAAAAGCAACUGGUGAAGUCUGAGUAGAGAAGUACAGCCAGCAGUGCUGCUUAUUUUGUGGGGGUGAUACCUUAAUAAAGACUACUUGAAGCCUACAGCAGGUUUUCUGCAUAAUUCUAAAAUACAUGGAGACAGCAUGGAGCUGGGACCUGUCUGGGAUUCCAGGACAGGUGUGCACGCUCCUUUAUCUGAAAAAGGAUUCAUUUGGUUUGAGCACUAACUCUUACGUACUGGCCUAUGGCUGAAGUGUGUCACUUUCCACAGCAGCACUCAACAAGAACUGGGACAAUUAAAUAGCAAGUUUUCAUGGGGACCUUGUUGCUGCUUUAGAUUCUUAUAAAUGUAAGGGGAAAAAGGAGAACCUUUUGUUUUAAUAAGAGAUUAACAAAUAAAACCCUUACUGAAAAAAUAGUGAAUGGAAAAUCAAGGGUGGGCAGACAAUCUUAAGAGUGAAGAAGGCCACAAGAACAAUUGCAUUUUUUUCUUUUUCUUUUUUUUUUUUCUUUUUGUAAAAAACGAAAGGAAAACAAGCAGUUUUUGAGUUCUAAAGAAUCUGAUUGUAAUGUUAUUGUCCUUUCUCUGGGCAAUACGGACUUAAUUGUGUAUCGCUGUAAUUACAUAAUUACAUAACGAGUCCUUUUGUGGGAAAUUCCAUUGUUUUGUUUUUCACAGAAUGUAACCUAACACGAAGAGACAGUCUAAGAUUAAUUCCCUUUGUUUGCUUCUCAGUAUUCUGCAUACAAGUGAAAAGUCUUCUUGGAUAAUUAAGACUGUCUAAAGUCACUGAGAGUUUCAGUAUGCUGACUUUAAAGAUUCUAAGGAAACUCAGCACUUGAAACUGAAUGUGAGACUCCACUGUUACCCAGUGCACUCAUUAAUACCAGCCCCAGAAGAGAUUCCUGAGAAUGGCUGGAAAACCUGACCUUCCUCUCCUGGCAUCAUGCUUCACUUCCUCAUCUGCAAACUGGAGAGAAUACUUACCAGAGCUGGAGAGCAUAUGAGACAGGAAGCCCAAGUUCUGGUUCUAAGUGCCCAAGUUAAAAAGUUAUACACCAAGAAACCUAAAAUAACAAGCCAGUUGUUUCAGCUGCUUCUUCAACUACUGGAGUUAUGCUAGAACAAGAAAACUAGGCACCAUGUCAAGGAGUAGACUGGGACAUACAGCAAAUAGAUGUUUCACUCAGAGCACUAUAUAACAGAAGAUAACGGAUCCUUACAAAAGCUGGUUUGCUAGGUAAACAAUAAGUUUAUAAAAAUCUUUUGUUUCUUAAAUGGAAGGAGUCCCUAAGCUACAUGACUGUGGAUUUGCAUUAACGUGUUACAGGUACAUAUAUACACUUAUUGCUGAAAUAUUUAACUGCUAAAAUGCAACUUCACAUUACAUGAAAAUAAAGGAAGAGAACAACUGCUGCCUAAAUCUUGCUUAUUGCUAUUCCUUGCACUCACUCUGUACGUUCCCACCUCAAGCAGUGCAAAUAUAUCCACUUCCUCCGAUGAAUAUUUGUAUGCAACAAAUAUAUGUACAGAAUCAAAGUACACUACAGCUCUAAUUUAGUAGGAAAGGAACCUAUUCAGAGCUGUACAGUAACACAUUAUGAAGCUCAACUCACUCACUUGGCAUUGCUUUCUGCAGCUUCCUCUUUUGCUUCCACAUCACCCUCACAUUUUACAGACUUGUUCUUUUCAUCCAUCCAGUCAGACACAUGUUUAAGGGCACAUUCUACUGUUGAUACCAUGUUCUGGACAGCUUCAAGUUCUUCUGGAGAUGGAUAAAUGGUUGAAUGUUUCACCAUAACAUGGCGGUCAUCGUUAGCAAAAGAUCGGAUAGAUCUCUGUUACAGAUUGGGAAAGGAGAGGAAAAAGAACAAAAUUAUUCAAUUAUCAAUAGAAAGACACUACCUGAAUGGCAGUCCUCCCUGAUAGAUGUAAGAAAAUGUUUUAUGAUGACCAUGCAUUACAAUCUGGCAGGACUGAUUUCUUAUCAGAGAGAUACGCAGACACCAAAGACUACCAUGGAAUCAGCAGUAAGCUGGCAAAAGGUACAAGGCUUAAAGUGGGGUUUCUUUUUGGCACCUAGCAUUAGAUGCCUAAAAGCCUUUACUGGCUAGUAAUACUGGCUGCUAAGAGGAACUGGCACAUCUGGAGCACAAUUUAUGUUUAUGCACACAGUAGGAUGAGAUUAAUUGUGCUCUGGAGGUACAUCCCUUCGGUCCUGGGCAACUCAUUUUGCUUUCAAACAUCUUUAACUUCCCUCAUCCUUUGACUCGCUUGUUAAUUUAGAUUAGGUUUUCAACGUCAGUGAGAGAACACCUACACCCCACAUAUCAAGGAGAUAAAAAUUGCGAGUAACAGUAUUGAAGGAAACACCCUACUCAGGAAUACUUGCAGGAACUUAGAUCCUGAAUUUCAGUGACCUUUGCUGACGUGUCUCAAGCUUCAGUAGCUGGAUAGCUCAAAGCAAAGAGAAAAGCCCGGGCCUUGAUUCCAAAAGGUAGCCACAUUUUAAAGUAGGCUAAUUCAGAACCUAAAUAGCCCAGGAUGAAAGCAGAGGGCUGACAAGGAUAAUAUGGAGAUGACUCUCUUAAACACAACUUCGUACAUUCUAGAUGCACGGAGUGCAGCUGUCUCAAUUUCUGUUAGAAGUCAAUGGCAACCCCUUUAGAACAAAGCAAUUAAAUAGCCCCUCCCCUGUGGUUUUGUUGCUGCUGCAGACGAAGUCACAGACACUACAUAUUACUAAGUGCAGCUUAGCAAACUGCACUGGGAUUUACAAAGGCAUGAACGAAAAUGAGGAUAGGGAUAAGCUGGUAAGGAGUGCAGAAAUAGUUUCUUAAAAAUCUGAUGAGUUUGCAGUGAAACUUCAAGAUCUGAGCAAUACUGUUGAAGGAGGUAAACGUAACUGGUUAAGCAACUUGUGCCAAGAGGUUAUGGUUUGCCACACUCUAUCCAAGUGAGACUUACCUGAUCUAAACAGUGACCUGGACCAGCUGCUCUCACAGCACAGACCUCCAGCAAGUACACCUCUAAACAUUCUCUAGACACAUGCCAGUCACUACUGAAAGUCCCCUGGAACUUAGAAUCAUCAACCAGAACUCUGUCCUCCUACACAUUAAACACUGCAAAUGGCUUUAGUUUUUACCCCCUAGUCCGUGGGUUUGUUAACGGCAGCAUACUCUGUAAUAGCACACAUCCUUCAGGUCAUAGAAGAUCACAGAAUUGCUCAGGUUGGAAAAGACCUUAAAGAUCAUCAAGUCCAACCGCAAAACAGGCCUGUGAAGGAUGUGGAAAGCUUCUGGGUUUAAUACUUGUUAAUGAACAGGUUGUGGCUUCCUUGGUUAUUACAUUCAAAGGUCAGUGCUACAGUUACUUCCUUAACUUCUCCAUGCCUACCCACAACAACAAUUCAGGUAGUUAAAACUCAUCAGCCAGGGGUCUGGAGUUGCUCCAGUACUUUCACAGAUUGCAAAAACAUUUCCAGAAGGUUCCUCUUGAGGUUUAUCUGCAGCUUGGGUACACAAAGAAGCUGCAGUUCUGCAGCGAAAAUUGACAAGCUGGAUUUAUUCAUUCAUCCCUACCACCUCAAAUCUCAUGAAAUAUCAAUCAGGAAAAACAGUUUGCUGCUGCUUGACUAUUAACUCAGAUUUGAAGACAUUUCUGUUCUUUUCUAACAGUUAGGCAUUGGCAAGAUCAAUUAUUCAUUACAGUUUAGACCAAAAGUAAUAGCAAAAGAAGACUUUAUAUUGACAGCUCUGCUGUGUCAAAUUUUCUUCCUCCCUUUGUGCUCUAAAACAGGUAAAAAUCUUGUCCCGGAUCUCAUUUUAAAUAUAUAUCUCAUAUAUAUACACACACAUACACAUGCACACACACAUAAAUAUGUGUAAAUAUUUAUUUACAUAUAAACACACAUCCUGGCUAUCAUCAGUCAUCAGCUAUACAGGUGUUAGAGAAGAGUAUUUAAAAUUUAUUGCAUUUAUUCUCAUUUCCUUUCUCUCAGCAAUAACGCGUAAGAGAACUUAAAAUCUAUCAGUAUGCUUAAACUGCUCUCCACAGUAUUUUUCAGAACUGAGUUGGUUUACUGCCCUUUUGUGAACACAUCUUCAGAAUCUUACCAUCACAGUCCUUCACAUUUAUACAGCUUGAUAAUUUAAUCAUCUCUGAUGUUCCCAAUUUGGGAGCAGCACCAGGUAGACCAGAAAUGACUCCUCAUUUAGUUAAAUACACUUGGUACAUAUCCUUUACUUAUAUCUCAUCUAUGUUUUAAUUAAAAGUGCAUAGGAACACAUGCAUUCAGCUUUCCAUACACAUGUACAAAAAUGAGUAAUUUCACACUUGCUUUUGUGAGCAAGGAGUGAAAGGGGAAUAGCAGCAUUCGGUUAUGCAAUCCACAAGUUCAAGGUCACUCACACUAUUUGCUACAGCUUGUUAAUGCUGGUUUUAUUAGAGACUUAGGAACAUCCCCUUCAUUCACAUUUAAUAAUUUAUGUAAUGCAGGCUCAGAAGACAACUCUCUGGUUUAAAAAGGCUAACAAAAUAUCAAACCUUAUCUGCUUUGCUCAAAGUAUGCAGUACCAUCACCAAUUUAGUGCAAGGUCAGAAUAUCUCUUCACUUGUUUCAUCGGGCCCCAUGCAAGAUCAUCAAAGAAUAUUAUUAAUGCAACCCUAUGAAAGAUAGAGAUACCUACCAUGAUUUGUUACUGUUUCAACUCUCUCUUUCUUUCUCCUUUUCCCUCCUCCUUGGUGUCUUUGAUAAGAGCUGUUUUGCUUGACAGAACCUCUUCAUAAGCCUCUCAGUCCCUUGACAGCUCAAGAGUUCAUAGAGCUAAGAUGCUGUAAGAGUCACUUUCUGUAGUUCACCUGCAAAAAAAAAAAAAAAAAAAAAAAGAGAGAGAAAAACAACUUGAAAACAGAAGAAACAUGUUAAUUCCAAUAAGUGCUCAAUGCAGAACACUAAGUCAAACCACUGACUAAAGCAAGCUGGCUUCACAGUAGAGAAGAGCUCACCAAAUCAUUUUUUCCCAGAACAAUAGCAGAUGUCACUACAGGAAGCAACUUCAGUGAUGUGCCCACACGUAUGUAACUGCUUUCCCAUACCAGUUAGAGCUUUUCUCAGUGCACUACCAGCCAACUGGCAACUUACAUUUCUGAUGUGAGGAAGAUUGGAAAUACAAUGUCUCAAAUACAUUCCAUAUGAAACCAGCUUGAAAAGAUAGCUAUUGUUAACAUUAAUUUAAUUAUUAAAAAGUAAUUAGCAGCUGAAAUCCUCUGUGCAACCUUUGAUUCUGAAUGUGUCAGAAGCCGGACAACAUGAACGAACACUUCAGGUGGCGAUAACUAAUUUCUUAUUAAAAAAGAGAUGUACAUUAUAAUAAACUGAAGACAUGAGAAUUGUGACCCUGUUUGGCUGAAAUCAUUCAUGCUGCUUUUUCUGCCCUUGCAUUGCUUUUUCCAGUACGUAGCAGCUAAAAGAGCCUCUCAGAGCAGCCCUCUUGUACUAAGCUAGAGAAUGACAGAGCAGGUAGUGCUAGAGAGAAAAGCAUAAGCUUAUUGCAUAGCAUAACACACUAGUUCUUGGAGAAAACUCCUGUUUUCUCCUUUCACUGUAUAUAUUGUUGCAUCAGCUUUUUGGCAACAUUCUGAAGUAACUGGAAAACCCAGUCAAAAUUUCUGCAGGUUGACACAUACACACACACACACACACACACACACACACACACAAAUGUUUUCCUUUUCUCCUGUAUGUCAGUCUUUACUUCUCCAGCAGUAUGUUGCAUGUUGCCUGUCAAAAAUUUUUCAUGGUUCUGGAGAUUAAAAGCAAGUUUGGCAACAGCACAGGGACAGGUGAGAUGACUUGAAGGCUGAGUAGAUGUUUAAGCCUCUGGGGUAUAACAGGGAAUAAUUAAACUGUUACAUCUUAGAGAUUUAAGCAUUCCAAAGAAAAGGUAACUAUAAAUUCUUCUUCCCAAUUUUUGAAGUUAGGAAGAGUAGUUUUACAGGACCAAUAGUUUCAAUACUAAGUGCCUAAUAAUUUCUUUGUAUCUCACACCACAGAGUAUAGGAUGCAUUACUGGAUAAAAAGAAAAGCUGGGGCCUGUCUGCUUCAGCCGCUCAGGAUUGCCAAGGAGUAACUCCCAAGAAAGUUUAACACACUCAUACUAAAAAUGCCUGGGAACAGCAAGCUAAUAAAAGCCCUAAAGGACCUCCUUUCUUAUCACAAAGGGUAUAUAUUGUACCAAGUUAUCUUAACACUCUACUAGAUCGCUUCCUAGAAGCGAUCAAAUAAGAUGUUCUUUAAUGGGACCAGAUUCCUACCUUAGGUGAUCUUGAAAGGCAAGCAGGGACAGCUGGAAGCACAAUUAAGCACCAAGACUACUGCUUUGGCACUACUUAGUACAUGAGCUAGUCAUAAGCUCAUUCAAACUGAAUAGCUUUUCACCAUCUCUAGAACCAGACUCUAUGAGGUUUUUUGGGUUUUUUUGCUUAGCUUUUUCUAUAAUAGUCAUAAUAAUAAAUAAUAUGCUUUAGAGUCGGCAGAUGGCAAGCUAGAGAUACUUAUCAGACACGUUUCCAGAUCAUCUAUUUCAAAUUAGCUGGAUUCAAUUUGAAGAGAGCCAUCUUCACAUAAUCAUUCUUCCUUGUGACUCCAACAUUUCACAUUUUCAGUUUGAUGUCUUCUCUGUAACUUGGCAAAUCCAGGCAGAGGACACUGGAAUGUACUGCUGACUUCAGCAUGCGCCCAGCAUGACGUCUUCAGACUCCAAGCAACACCCCAGCCUGGACUCUCUCCUAAGUCUACUGCAAGCUGUUGCUUAUCAGCUCGUACAGUAUAUUGAAAGCAGAUGGACAAAGAUAGCUGGCUGAGCAAAUUCUGGUACUUCAGAAGAACUGCCAGCAGACUGUUGUCUAGAGGGCAAGCCUGCAAUCUACCUUACAAGUUCUGAAAAGAGCCAUACCCCCAGGGUGCGAUUCUGGAUAUCCUUAGUGCUUUUCAGUGUUCUUUGAAAAUACCGAGCAGCUAUGAAACAUUCACUUUCAAUCUAUGAUGCAGACGGCUGAAGUAAAAUCACCAAAACCUCUCAGAAGUCUGCUUUAAAAGGGUAGUAACCAUCGUCUUAAAAGAGGUUCAAGUUUCAAUGUCACGCAAUAGAGUGAAGUAGAAUGUCACGCAGUAGAAUGAAGAUAUUUAUGAGUUUGAUACUACCUGCCCUUUUUCUCAUCCAUGAGUGGCUGAGGUCUGAGCAUACACGGGUGAACUACAGAGGGACCUUGUAUUGCUAUCAGUACCUUUAUCAUAAUAACUUGAAGUUUAAAAAAAACUUCCUGAACAAUAAGCUGGAGCUAACAUACCUGCAAGUUAUGCUAAUUAGCAUUCUAAGAAUAUUAGAAUAAGAGAAACAUGCACAGGAAUGAAAUGAAAACCUAAUACAGUUCAAUCUUUAAAAGAAAAUUUUCAAUAAAAGCACUAAAUAGGAUUUUUA